ACACGAGCGGCGAACGGGUGAGUAACACGUGGGUGAUCUGCCCUGCACUCUGGGAUAAGCUUGGGAAACUGGGUCUAAUACCGGAUAUGACCGCAUGCCGCAUGGUGUGUGGUGGAAAGAUUUAUCGGUGCAGGAUGGGCCCGCGGCCUAUCAGCUUGUUGGUGGGGUAAUGGCCUACCAAGGCGACGACGGGUAGCCGACCUGAGAGGGUGACCGGCCACACUGGGACUGAGACACGGCCCAGACUCCUACGGGAGGCAGCAGUGGGGAAUAUUGCACAAUGGGCGGAAGCCUGAUGCAGCGACGCCGCGUGAGGGAUGAAGGCCUUCGGGUUGUAAACCUCUUUCAGCAGGGACGAAGCGUGAGUGACGGUACCUGCAGAAGAAGCACCGGCUAACUACGUGCCAGCAGCCGCGGUAAUACGUAGGGUGCGAGCGUUGUCCGGAAUUACUGGGCGUAAAGAGUUCGUAGGCGGUUUGUCGCGUCGUUUGUGAAAACCCGGGGCUCAACUUCGGGCUUGCAGGCGAUACGGGCAGACUUGAGUGUUUCAGGGGAGACUGGAAUUCCUGGUGUAGCGGUGAAAUGCGCAGAUAUCAGGA
rnacentral:rRNA from 1 species